AUUGAACGCUGGCGGCAGGCCUAACACAUGCAAGUCGAGCGAGCGGCGGACGGGUGAGUAAUGCCUGGGAAUUGCACAGUCGAGGGGGAUCACAGUUGGAAACGACUGCUAAUCCCGCAUACGAUGGGAUUGCCCAGGUGGGAUUAGCUAGUUGGUGAGGUAAUGGCUCACCAGGGCGACGAUCCCUAGCUGGUCUGCGAGGAUGAUCAGCCAAACGUGAACUGAGACAGGGUCCAGACUCCUACGGGAGGCAGCAGUGGGUAAUAGUGCACAAUGGGGGAAACCCUGAUGCAGCCAUGACGCGUGUGUGAAGAAGGCCUUCGGGUUGUAAAGCACUUUCAGCGAGGAGGCGUUACUCGCAGAAGAAGCACCGGCUAACUCCGUGCCAGCAGCCGCGGUAAUAC
rnacentral:rRNA from 1 species